GCAAGUCGAGCGGUAGAGAGGUGCUUGCACCUCUUGAGAGCGGCGGACGGGUGAGUAAAGCCUAGGAAUCUGCCUGGUAGUGGGGGAUAACGCUCGGAAACGGACGCUAAUACCGCAUACGUCCUACGGGAGAAAGCAGGGGACCUUCGGGCCUUGCGCUAUCAGAUGAGCCUAGGUCGGAUUAGCUAGUUGGUGAGGUAAUGGCUCACCAAGGCGACGAUCCGUAACUGGUCUGAGAGGAUGAUCAGUCACACUGGAACUGAGACACGGUCCAGACUCCUACGGGAGGCAGCAGUGGGGAAUAUUGGACAAUGGGCGAAAGCCUGAUCCAGCCAUGCCGCGUGUGUGAAGAAGGUCUUCGGAUUGUAAAGCACUUUAAGUUGGGAGGAAGGGCAUUAACCUAAUACGUUAGUGUUUUGACGUUACCGACAGAAUAAGCACCGGCUAACUCUGUGCCAGCAGCCGCGGUAAUACAGAGGGUGCAAGCGUUAAUCGGAAUUACUGGGCGUAAAGCGCGCGUAGGUGGUUAGUUAAGUUGGAUGUGAAAUCCCCGGGCUCAACCUGGGAACUGCAUUCAAAACUGACUGACUAGAGUAUGGUAGAGGGUGGUGGAAUUUCCUGUGUAGCGGUGAAAU
rnacentral:rRNA from 1 species